UACGUAGGGGGCAAGCGUUGUCCGGAUUUACUGGGCGUAAAGGGCGCGUAGGCGGCUUAUCAAGUCAGGCGUGAAAUUCCCGGGCUCAACCUGGGGGCUGCGCUUGAUACUGAUGAGCUUGAAUGCGGGAGAGGAUAGUGGAAUUCCCAGUGUAGAGGUGAAAUUCGUAGAUAUUGGGAAGAACACCGGUGGCGAAGGCGGCUAUCUGGCCCGUAAUUGACGCUGAGGCGCGAAAGCGUGGGGAGCAAACAGG
rnacentral:rRNA from 1 species